GUCUACGACCAUGCCACCCUGAAUGCGUCCCAUCUUGUCUGACUUCGGAAGCUAAGCAGGGUCGGGCCUGGUUAGUACUUGGAUGGGAGACCACCUUGGAAUACUAGAUGCUGUAGGCA
rnacentral:rRNA from 1 species